GAUGGUAUCAUCUUCGUGGCGCGGCGCUGUACUCUCUCAAGUAAUUCAAUGUCUUUCCUGUAAUUAGGAGACCAGAAUUGCACGGCGUAUUCCAGGUGGGGCCUUACCAGCGAAUUAUACGAGACCGAGAUUGGACAAGUUAGGAAAGUUUUGUCCCUUGGUUCAAAGUUUUCCCACGGGGGUAGGCGUAUGACAUCACCGAUGUCUUUGAGGAGCCUCGCGGUGACCGGCGAGGGAGAAGAAAGGCGUGCAGCUUUGCAUGUGCCUUGGCCAGGCCGCGAUAUUUUUUUUCCUGCCUGGUUCCGUACACUCGAGCAAAUGUCUACAUUUGGCAACACUGUCGCGGGAGCGGAGGCCGGUGGGGGAGACGGCGCGCGCCGCGCCGUCAUCAGCUGACGACAACAGUGGGAAGACGGAAGAGGCUGAGUGAGAGAGCUCUGUGGAUGUAUACAGCCAAUAAUGGACAGUGGCAACAUAAAGAUUUGUUCAGAGUCACACUGCAGCAUUGGACUCCUUCAUGAUGUACGACAACUUAGUGCACUGUUACCGGAGGGAUACCAGUACACAGUGUGCGAAUACGCAGGUACAACUGAAGGCACAAAUGCUGUUCUACGAUUACAUGUCACAACUGAGGCCAUCGCCCGUACGUGGAUAAAAGAGUUUCAAGGAAAAACUAAAACUACUCUACGAACUCUAUCCAAGCAUAAAGUGACUGGUCAGAAAAGAGUCUUCCAGAUGCAUCUACGGUGUCACCACAACACCAAACCCAGGAGUAACACGGCCGAUUCAAGACAUGGAUCAAAAAACACAGAUUGUCCAGCCACCGUGAGUGUGAUCGUGAAGCAAACAAAUACUAAGCGAAAGAGCAGAUCAACUGAUACCCAUGCAACUGCCCUCC